rnacentral:rRNA from 1 species
CCUACGGGUGGCUGCAGUGGGGAAUAUUGGACAAUGGGGGGAACCCUGAUCCAGCCAUGCCGCGUGUGUGAAGAAGGCCCUCGGGUUGUAAAGCACUUUCAGUGAGGAAGAACGCCUGGUGGUUAAUACCCAUCAGGAAAGACAUCACUCACAGAAGAAGCACCGGCUAACUCCGUGCCAGCAGUCGCGGUAAUACGGAGGGUGCGAGCGUUAAUCGGAAUUACUGGGCGUAAAGCGCGCGUAGGUGGCUUGAUAAGCCGGUUGUGAAAGCCCCGGGCUCAACCUGGGAACGGCAUCCGGAACUGUCAAGCUAGAGUGCAGGAGAGGAAGGUAGAAUUCCCGGUGUAGCGGUGAAAUGCGUAGAGAUCGGGAGGAAUACCAGUGGCGAAGGCGGCCUUCUGGACUGACACUGACACUGAGGUGCGAAAGCGUGGGUAGCAAACAGGAUUAGAUACCCUGGUAGUC